UGGGAGCAAGAAUUUCUAAGGACAGAUAGAACAUUUUAUUUCAAAGCAAAAGAAUCACUUUUUAUUAAAAAGACUUAUUAUUAUUAUUAUUUUUCAGCAGGUCGAGUCAUUUUCAUUGCCGCGAACGUGGCUUGGGUCACGGUAAGACUCAUCUCAGCGGACCGGUCUCUCUCCAACUAUAAUUCAACAGCAUCAAAACCAUCUAAGCAAUUCUCAAUCGUUUGAUUUAGUUCGAGUCAAACGGCUUAGACCGCAGCAAAUACCUUAUCUGAAGACGCACUAAACUAGCCAAUCAACUAUCGCAGAAUUACUCGCAAGAACAUAAACCGGUGACGAAGCAGAAUCGGCCCGGUGGAUUGAGGGUUUAGGGCAUCGGUGAAAUCGGGAGACAAAAGAUCAUGAUGGUGGAGUUGUUUGUGCUGGGGUGUACGGGGUUGGUGGUGUUUCUUCACAUCGCCCAUCUCUUUUUCCAUGCUUUCUCUCAAAACUUCGCCCUUCGUUCUCUCAGUUUUCUGGGAUUUGUUGGGUGGUAGCAGAGAGAGAGAGAGAGAGAGAGAGAGAGAGAGAGAGAGAUGAUUGGCAGAGAAACCCAGAUGGAGAUUAUGGGAGGCGGUAGCUACCUUUGCAUCUACCAGUCCAGCUGCCUCCUCAGCUUCUCAAUUUGUAAAUGUUUAAUUUAGUUAACUUUUCUUUUCUUCUUUUUCAUAUUAACAAUAAAAGAUGGCGGGGGAGGGUUCUGAAAUAAAUGGAAAUUGAAGGCCUUGCUUGAAAAUAAUUGUGUAAUUGUAUUAUUGUAAUUAUAAUUAUUCUAAUCUUUCACUAUUCA